rnacentral:rRNA from 1 species
GAUGAACGCUAGCUACAGGCUUAACACAUGCAAGUCGAGGGGCAGCAGGAUCUAGCAAUAGAUUGCUGGCGACCGGCGCACGGGUGAGUAACACGUAUCCAACCUGCCGAUAACUCGGGGAUAGCCUUUCGAAAGAAAGAUUAAUACCCGAUGGUAUAAUCAGACCGCAUGGUCUUGUUAUUAAAGAAUUUCGGUUAUCGAUGGGGAUGCGUUCCAUUAGGCAGUUGGUGAGGUAACGGCUCACCAAACCUUCGAUGGAUAGGGGUUCUGAGAGGAAGGUCCCCCACAUUGGAACUGAGACACGGUCCAAACUCCUACGGGAGGCAGCAGUGAGGAAUAUUGGUCAAUGGGCGCAGGCCUGAACCAGCCAAGUAGCGUGAAGGAUGACUGCCCUAUGGGUUGUAAACUUCUUUUAUAUGGGAAUAAAGUUUUCCACGUGUGGAAUUUUGUAUGUACCAUAUGAAUAAGGAUCGGCUAACUCCGUGCCAGCAGCCGCGGUAAUACGGAGGAUCCGAGCGUUAUCCGGAUUUAUUGGGUUUAAAGGGAGCGUAGGUGGACAGUUAAGUCAGUUGUGAAAGUUUGCGGCUCAACCGUAAAAUUGCAGUUGAUACUGGCUGUCUUGAGUACAGUAGAGGUGGGCGGAAUUCGUGGUGUAGCGGUGAGAUGCUUAGAUAUCACGAAGAACUCCGAUUGCGAAGGCAGCUCACUGGACUGCAACUGACACUGAUGCUCGAAAGUGUGGGUAUCAAACAGGAUUAGAUACCCUGGUAGUCCACACAGUAAACGAUGAAUACUCGCUGUUUGCGAUAUACAGUAAGCGGCCAAGCGAAAGCAUUAAGUAUUCCACCUGGGGAGUACGCCGGCAACGGUGAAACUCAAAGGAAUUGACGGGGGCCCGCACAAGCGGAGGAACAUGUGGUUUAAUUCGAUGAUACGCGAGGAACCUUACCCGGGCUUAAAUUGCAUUUGAAUAUAUUGGAAACAGUAUAGCCGUAAGGCAAAUGUGAAGGCGCUGCAUGGUUGUCGUCAGCUCGUGCCGUGAGGUGUCGGCUUAAGUGCCAUAACGAGCGCAACCCUUAUCUUUAGUUACUAACAGGUCAUGCUGAGGACUCUAGAGAGACUGCCGUCGUAAGAUGUGAGGAAGGUGGGGAUGACGUCAAAUCAGCACGGCCCUUACGUCCGGGGCUACACACGUGUUACAAUGGGGGGUACAGAAGGCAGCUACCUGGUGACAGGAUGCUAAUCCCAAGAGCCUCUCUCAGUUCGGAUCGAAGUCUGCAACCCGACUUCGUGAAGCUGGAUUCGCUAGUAAUCGCGCAUCAGCCAUGGCGCGGUGAAUACGUUCCCGGGCCUUGUACACACCGCCCGUCAAGCCAUGAAAGCCGGGGGUACCUGAAGUACGUAACCGCAAGGAGCGUCCUAGGGUAAAACUGGUAAUUGGGGCU